rnacentral:rRNA from 1 species
UACGUAGGGGGCAAGCGUUGUUCGGAUUUACUGGGCGUAAAGGGCGCGUAGGCGGCGCGUAAAGUCUGACAUGAAAUCAUUGGGCUUAACCCCAUGGAUGUGCCCGAUACUUGCGUGCUUAGAGUGCGGGAGAGGCAAUCGGAAUUCUCGGUGUAGCGGUGAAAUGCGUAGAUAUCGAGAGGAACUCCGGUGACGAAGGUGGGUUGCUGGACCGACACUGACGCUGAGGCGCGAAAGCUAGGGGAGCAAACGGG